CAUACGCUGCUAAGUACUCGAUGUUACGUUCGUAAGUGCGAGUUGCAUUAUCGAACUAGUUGUUAUCUAGAUUUUUAUCUCGUUGAUGUGUCGAAGCUUAUUCUUUUUUCGUUUCGUGUUCAAUAGUAAAUAUAUCGUUGUACAGUCCACACCAAUGCUCUAUGUUGUUUUAUUUCGUAUCGUAACAUUAUGGUCCUCCGAGCCGGAUUUCUCAUGCCGGCAAAAGUUUUCCCUUGUUUUCGCGUUUGUGAUGGAAUAAUUUUUUCGUAAUUGCUAUUGUUUUUCGCAAAUUCGAUGUUUCGUAAUGUAUUCGUUUUAUGAAAGUCUCUUGUCAUUUUCGUAAAGUUUCGUGACGUGGUAGUUAUCGUGUAGAAUGACCGAAACUGCUGCUGAAAAGGCAGCUCGCGAGGCCGCGGCCGAAAAAGCGGCUCGUGCUGCUAAAGUGAAGAAAGAAGCACUCGGACGAGAGAAGCGUGUUCUCGUACGCUCUAUCUCUAUCUCGUUUAAUGAUGUGGCGAAUUAUAUCGAACAUACGCCAUCGAAGGAAGCAGUCAACACAAUCGCUGCAAAUCUUGAUUCUAUUCAAGGUAUGUUGGAAAAGCUAUCCAAAAUUGAUUCGCAACUUAUGGAUUUUAUUGAUCAAGCUCAGUUGACGGAUGACAUUGUAGCCGAAGAAGCUGAGAUAUGUGAUGAUUAUAUGAAGUAUUUUCGUUUAUUUAAUACGUCGAUGGGAAAGUUGAAAACCAUACAGGAAUCGUUACAUCCUGCUGCACGUUCGAGUCGCCGUUCAAUGUUUUCAAGCACGUUUUUAGACGCAACGUUAUCGAAUCCUAUGGUAAAGUUACAAGAUGUUCCUGUACCCCAGUUUGAUGGUACGUACGCUAGUUUUCCCGAUUGGUACGCUGAGUUUUCAUCCAUUGUCGAUAAGAACGAGAAUUUCGAUUCGUUUCAAAAGAUGUAUUUACUUCGUCGUGCUAUGGGAGAAGGUGCAAAAGAUAUCCUAAAAGAUAUGGGCACUGAAGGCCAUUUAUAUGAGCCUACAUUUAAAGACCUUUAUAAGACCUAUUAUAAUAGGCGAAGAAUAAUUGCUGAGCACUUUGCUAAUUUGAUCGAUAUGCCGCCAAUUAAGGGCAAUAAUAUACGUGAGUCAGUAAACAAAGUCAAACGAGUCAUCCGUGGUUUGAAUGUAUGUGACUUGAAUGUUGAUGCGAUGUCACCGUUAAUCGCCUUUAUUGUUUCGAGAAAAAUCCCAGAAAAACUCAAAAUGGACUGGGACACGUCAAAUCAUGAUUACUCUGUUUAUCCCUCGUUCGAAUCGCUCGCAACGUUCCUAUUGAAUCGAAGUUUUUCGUACGAGACCAAUGUGGCUUCUUCAAACGAGUCAAAAAAUAAGUCGUCGGUUCCUGUCACCAGUACAGUGCCUGGAAAAAAUGCUGGAAAAAGUAAUUCGUCGUCGAAGUCGUCGUUAGCUGUCAGUUCGCCUAAAGGAUCAUCAGUUAAUUUUCCGAAAUGUGUAGUGUGUUCGAAAUACCAUUUUUUGGACCAAUGUGAUGUAUUUAUUGGUAAAUCUGCAUUAGAACGUUUCGAUAUUAUUAAAGGUAAUAAAUUAUGCAUUAAAUGUUUCAAGCCGAAUCAUUCGGUGAGUAAUUGUACGCGACCAAAUUGUAAAUCGUGUGAUGGUAAACACCAUAAUUUAUUACAUCGUGAAAAAACAACGAACGAAAAGCCAGAUAAUUCGGAUACUCAAGGUACGUCAAAUGAGCCACCUAAGAGUAGUUUGUGUGCUUUAGGAUCUUCGAAAUCUGUGUUUCUUAGCACUGCGAUUGUGAAAGUUAGUGAUGGUUAUUCUAGUGAGUAUGCUAGGGUUUUGUUUGAUCAAGGAUCUGAGGUAUCUUUGAUUACUCGUGAGUUUUGUGAUCGAGCUAAAUUGAAAAUGAUAAACAAUCCCUCGCCUACUUCGUUGAUUGGUAUCAAUGAAAAGCCUAUCGAAUUGAAUAAAGUUGUGAAGUGCGUUUUAAGUAGUCGAUUUAAUGAUUUUCGUAUCGCUAUUGAUGCCGAGGUGAUUCCUCGAAUUCCUUAUUCAGUGAAUAAACAGGAUAUUAAAGAAGUCAUUAGUAAUUUUCCUCAUAAUUUCGGUGAAGAUUUCAACCUGCCUCAUGAUUCUGUUGAUAUUUUACUCGGAAGCGAGUAUGUCGAGUUUGUGAUGGCAGAAAAGCGUUUUUUUGUUGAAGGUUUAUGUUUGAGGGAGUCAAAGUUCGGUUUCGUUGUCUCUGGGUCGAGAAAAGCUUCGUUUUGUGCUAGUAAAAUGUCGUUCUGUGGUCUAUCGAAUGUAGAGUUGUCUAAUCAACUUGAUCGCUUUUUUUCGGUUGAAGAAAUUCAGGAGUCUGAAUUGAAUGAAAAGGUCUUAGAUCAUGAGUUGAUUGAGAAACAUUUUAAUGACACUUAUCAAAUUGAUGAAGAAUCUGGAAAAUUCGUUAUUCGUUUACCGUUGAAAGAAAGUGUCAAGUGUUUGAAUGGAUCUUAUGAUAAAGUUCGAAAAAUGUUUUUGAGGUCUGAGUCUCAUCGUUCUGAGAGUAAGCACAAUUCGUACAAGGAUGUAUUCGAAGAGUAUUUGAAAUUAGGUCAUAUGUCCGAAGUAAAUGAACCUAAUGUCGAUGGUUAUUUUAUCCCUCAUCAUCUUGUAUCAAAAAUAACUACCAAUGGUGUUAGUAAUCGAGUCGUAUUCAAUGCUUCAUUUUGCGAUGCCUCUGGAACAUCGCUAAAUAAUCAUUUACUCGAAGGUCCAGUUAUUCAGCCAAAACUGAAUACCAAUAUUAAUCAAUUUCGGUCGAAUUUAGUAGCUUUUUCUACUGAUAUUUACAGAAUGUAUCGAUGUAUUUUAAUACAUAAGGAUGAUCGAAUGUAUCAACAGAUUUUUUUUCGUUUUGAUCGUAAUGGUUCUUUAUUGGUUUUCGUUUUAAAUACCUUAACUAACGGUAUUGGUCCAGCUUCGUAUUUAGCGACGAAAUGUCUGGAAAAAAUUGGUAUGUCGAUUUUAUCAUCUGAUCCUGAAGUGGCUAAUAUUAUUUUGAAAUCCUUUUAUAUGGAUAAUGGUACAAUUGCGGUGAAAAGUGUUGAACAGGCCAUUGCAAUACAACAUCGAUUGCACGAUGUUUUACUUAAGCAUGGAUUUCGUUUGACUAAGUAUCAAAGCAACUCUAAGGAGUUCCUUAAUUCGUUGGAUCCGUCUUUGAUCGAACCUCUAGCUACGAAGGUAAUCGGCGGAGAUGAGUUUGUAAGUUUAUUAGGGUUAGUAUGGUAUACUGAUAAGGAUGAGUUUGGAAUACUAAUAAAAUCAAGCGAAAUUCCAGUUAUUGCGACCAAACGUAUCAUUUUGUCGGAGAUUUCCAAGGUGUUCGAUAUUCUAGGAAUUCUUACUCCCGUUACAAUUCGUGGCAAAUUACUCAUGCAGUCAGUUUGGCGUGAAGGUCGUAAAUGGGAUGAGGAAGUGUCUUAUGAAUUAUUUGUCGAAUUUUCGGAGUACUUGAAGGAUUUAAUUUUGUUAUCAGAAUUUCGGAUACCUAGGUGCUAUUUUUCGAGCUCAUUCGUUGUUCAAACUCAAUUAGUUGGAUUUUGUGAUGCUUCGCUAAGUGCAUAUUGUGCUGUCGUAUAUAUUCGUUCUAUUGAUAAUGAAGGAAAUAUUGUAUCUACGUUUGUAAUGUCAAAGUCUCGUAUCGCUCCGAUUAAAGCUUCCAAGUCGAAUAUACAUCGUUUAGAGUUAGCAAGUGCUGAAUUAUUAGCCAAAUUGAUUCGAGAAAUUAGUGAUGAUUUGAAAGUUGAUGAGAUUUUUUGUUUCAGUGAUUCGAUGGUAACGUUAGGUUGGUUGCAUAUUGAUCCUAGUCGUUUGAAGGUAUUCGUGUCUAACCGUGUUGUAAACGUAUCUAAAUUAACAGAUAUUAAUCGUUGGUUUUAUGUUGAAAGUUUGUCAAAUCCUGCAGAUUUAGGUACUCGAGGUAUUCCAUCGAGAAAGUUGUUGAAUUGUUCGCUUUGGAAAAUCGGACCUAGUUGGUUAAUUUCUGAAGAGUUCCUUCAGCAUGUUCAGUUUCAACUUGAUAAUGAAAGGGAAUUACCUGAGUUAAAAGAGAACACAUCCUUGAUUAUAUGGUAUGAUAAUCGACCAAUUUUAUCGAUGAUAAAAUCGUAUUCGUCAUUCUAUAAAUGUAUUUCGAUAGUAAGUUUUGUUCUUAGGUACGUGAACGUGUUGAAAAGCAGAGCGAGAAUUCGUUUAGCUGGUAAUAUUCCCAAGCCAGUAUGUCGUAUUGUUGAUUUUAAGGAAGGAGAAUGGGUCAAGCUUGUUGAACCGUUAUCAGUCGAAGAGAGAGAUAUUGCCUAUUUUAGAAUUAUUCGUUACGCUCAAGUAGAACGUUUUGAAGUUGAGAUCGAGUGUCUGAAAAAAGGUAAAAAGUUGCAUCGAAAAAAUAGGUUAUCAACUCUUGAAUUAUUUUUUGAUAAGUACGGAAUUUUACGUGUUGGUGGUAGAAUUACAGCUGCAUGUUUUUCAGACGAUGCGAAAUUUCCAAUUAUCUUAUCCUCGAAGUCUUCGCUUUUGUAUUUGUAUAUCGAUUUUGCGCAUCGAAAAUAUUGCCACGCUUCUGCUUCGUUUUUGUACAAUUUUGUACGUGGUAGAUUUUUCGUAAUUGGCAAUUUAGCUGCCACUAUCAAAGAAUGUUUGCACAAGUGUUUAACGUGCACUAGGUAUGAUGCGAAAAUGGUUGAACAGAUUAUGGGCGAUUUACCUUUUCAAAGAGUAAAUAUUUCGAGACCAUUCUCAACUGUAGGUAUAGAUCUAACGGGUGCUAUUUCGAUAAAAUGCACCAAUCAUCGAGUAGGAAAAGUUGUUAAGGUUUAUGCCUGUUUUUUCGUUUGUUUUUGUACUAGAGCUGUUCAUGUAGAGUUGAUAGAAGACCUCACGACCGAAGCCUUUUUGGCUACUUUCGAAAGAUUCGUUGCUCGUCGUGGUUUACCACACACAGUUUAUUCGGAUAACGCUACUAAUUUUGUAAGUGCUCGUAAUAGAUUUUUUGCCGAGAAUCGCAUCAAGUGGUUGUUGAUUUCCCCACGCAGUCCUCACCAAGGUGGGCUGUGGGAGUCCGCUAUAAAAGCUGGAAAAUCGCUCAUGGUGAAAUGUAUUGGAAGUCAAAUCUUGAACCUCUUCGAACUUAUGACUAUUUUAUCGAAAAUAGAAGCGAUUCUCAAUUCUAGGCCACUUGCCUAUGUUCGAAAAAAUGAUUUUGUUGAGCCAGUGACGCCAGGUCAUUUCUUGAUUGGUAGUAAUUUACUUGAGCCAUCUUUGAAUGUCGAUAAUAAGUCAAGUCUUCGUGAUCGUUAUAAACUUUGGAGAAAAGUCGUUGAUUCGUUUUGGAUUUGCUGGCGUCAUGAAUAUUUUAAUCAACUUCGUCAUCGAAGUAAAUGGCGUAAAGAAGGUAGGAAUAUUCGAAUUGAUGACGUCGUUUUAUUGUCAUUACCUAAUGAGUCUUCGUUGAAUUGGCCUAUGGCCAUUGUCGUUAAAGUUUACCCAGAUUGUCAUGGUACUGUAAGAAAUGCCGAUGUAAAGUUGUCUGAUAUGUCGAUUAGAAGGACUUCGGUCCAACGUCUGGUUUUAUUGCCAGUACGAGAUGAUGAAUAAUUUCGUUAUCUCAUUAUGCUCGGUAUUAUGUCGUUUUACGUAAAUUCCUGUUCCGAUUAAUUGUUUUUUCUACAAUUUAUCGAUGUUAGACCUAGUAAUUAAUUUAUUUUACCUGUGAUAGUUUAUGUCUUUUUAUUUUUUAUUUAAUUUGUAAAUUGAUUUUUAAAUUUUUACUCUUUUUUGUAAUUAUUUUUAUGUAUGUUAAUUUGUAAAUAAUUUUUUUUGGGUUCAAAUGAGCUUUGCUCAUUUCGGGGGGGUGUUUGUUACGUUCGUAAGUGCGAGUUGCAUUAUCGAACUAGUUGUUAUCUAGAUUUUUAUCUCGUUGAUGUGUCGAAGCUUAUUCUUUUUUCGUUUCGUGUUCAAUAGUAAAUAUAUCGUUGUACAGUCCACACCAAUGCUCUAUGUUGUUUUAUUUCGUAUCGUAACACUCGAUGUACCUACGUUUGUAAUUACAUCUGCAUACAUCUGUACACAUAUAGAAUAGAGCUUACGACGACUGUUGAGCAUAUGAGGCGCAUGCGUCAGCCAUAAUAGCUCGGCGUCUCCGUCUUGUUGCGGUUCGAAUGUCAUGAUCAGCUAUACCUGUUUUCCGCUUGACGUUUCGACCAGAGGUAAAUACUAUUCAUACAACAACAACAGGUGGUAUUACUGGUGCGGUGAUUCUUUCUCCAUCUCGCUCUUUCUCCCGGAGUCCCGGUCCCAGUAUCUCGGUAAAGGUGCCGCUCCGGUUCGCGGUCUCUCUCCUCCAGGUACGCAUCGUGAGCGCGAGUCGCGAGUUCCAACAACCGGCUGCAUUGCGUUCGCGAAACACUCGAUUCGUGUACCAGUUGCGUGUUUCAACGGUCGUUGUUCGGUGUUUUUUUCCUAACACAUUUUUCACUUUCGUCUUCGUCGUCGUCGACGUGAAAUUUAAAAAAUCGAUUAUAUUUGCGCGAAAUUUGGAAACUUCGCGAUUGAAAAAAUUUUUCUCGGUUAAAAUCGAUUUUUUUUCAACGGUGUGAAAAAAUUUAUGAUUUUUUGUGUUCGUUUUCGAAUCGUGUACGACGAACUGUUUUUUAUUUUCAAUUUUCGGCAGUGUUUGUGUUGAUUUUGAAGUGUUGAAAAAAAUAUAGUGCAUUAUUGGAUAUACACCUACCUACCAACACGUAUAGGAUACCUAUGUGAUCAUCUUGUAUUUCAUUUUGGAUACGAAGAUUAAUAAAUCGCUGUUCGGAUCUAUCCGGCGGAUAAACGGAUAAUUCGCGGUACGAGGAUCAUUUUCUUGAACGAUUGUGCACUCGACUGUGAGUAAAAAACGCAAUUUCCAAAAUAGUAUUACUCAUAUAUGAAUUCGCGUAUGAGAAUAAGCAUCUUAAAAUGUCAUCGAGCGGUUCACUAUGCCUUGCGAAGACUGACGGAUAUAAAUGAAAAAAAUGUCGUCGCUACAGUUUGAUCGAUCGAUAAAUAUGCAAAUUUUCAAGGACAUCUCGAUCCUGCUCAUUUGAUAGCGAUUAUUCUCGCACCCACGCUGGCGAUAAAUGAUCCGCGAGUCGAUGAAUUUGUGCACUAGACGCAGAAAGAGAGCAGAAUAAAUACCAAUAUAAG